rnacentral:rRNA from 1 species
GACAUGACUCUCGGCAACGGAUAUCUCGGCUCUCGCAUCGAUGAAGAACGUAGCGAAAUGCGAUACCUGGUGUGAAUUGCAGAAUCCCGCGAACCAUCGAGUCUUUGAACGCAAGUUGCGCCCGAGGCCUUUCGGCUGAGGGCACGCCUGCCUGGGCGUCACG